GUGGGCGACACGGGGUGCCGAAUCCUCUCGGCUGAGAUCAGACCCGCUGAACCUGACCAGUUAGUACUGGCGGAGGGAUGUCCAUCAUGCCGUCG
rnacentral:ncRNA from 2 species